rnacentral:rRNA from 1 species
UACGUAGGGUGCAAGCGUUGUCCGGAAUUAUUGGGCGUAAAGAGCUCGUAGGUGGCCUGUCGCGUCGGCUGUGAAAACUCGGGGCUCAACUCCGAGCUUGCAGUCGAUACGGGCAGGCUAGAGUUCGGCAGGGGAGACUGGAAUUCCUGGUGUAGCGGUGAAAUGCGCAGAUAUCAGGAGGAACACCGGUGGCGAAGGCGGUGAUCUGGGCCGACACUGACGCUGUAGAGCGAAAGCGUGGGGAGCGAACAGG